CCAAAAAAGGAAAACAAAAACAAAAGGAAAAACGAUGGGCAAAGAAUUCGAAAACCUAAACCUAACCCUAUACCCCUCUCCUUCACCAAGCCUCCACCCUCCCUAUAAAUUGACCCCAAGAUUGAGUGUUUGUGCACGAACGAAAAGUGAGUAGUCUUCUAGUGUGUAAUAUCGGGGUUAAUUUAAAAACAGUUCGAAUGUGGAGGGUAGCUUCAGAAACUCUAGAUGAUGGUGAAGACGAGGCUGAUGAAGAACACCUUAUGAUUCUCUAAUAUCGAAUCGAUGAUUUACCAGAGUUAUUAUAUAAAGAACUGCAGAAGAGCGAGCCGGUCGGAAAAGCUGUUCAGGUUGCACUGGUGAUGCAAGAGUCGGUGAUGCAAGAGUCGCACUUGUUGUCUCUCAGCUGCCUUAACUGUCGAGCUACAGGGACUGCAGCUGCCGCACUCGUGUCGACUUCAUGCACAAUGCCAAACCCUAAAAGCCCCCAACCGCAGAACUCAGCAUCUCCUUGCAUGUUUUGGCUUAAGCUAGCUGGUCCUCCUGCUUGUAAAGAUAGAUGAUCACACAGAAUUUUAUUCGUGUGUGUGUGUGUGGAUAUACACACACACACAGAGCAUGCAGUACUUGUAAAUAUAGCGUAAACAAAAUGGCCUUCAAGUCAUUGAAUGGCUUUAGUUAACGAAUAAUGAAAUAAAUCGAAAAGUUUUUAACGUUCCCAAUGCUUGAUUUUCGUCGGUUACCAACGUUACCUUCGAAGGGCAUUAAACAAACUUUUCUCGUACCUAA